rnacentral:rRNA from 1 species
CNANUCGCAAUGGGGGCACCCUGACGGAGCGACGCCGCGUGGAUGAUGAAGGCCGUAAGGUUGUAAAAUCCUUUUGUUGGUGAAGAAUAAGGAGGGGAGUGGAAAGCCCCUCUGAUGACGUUAGCCGACGAAUAAGCCCCGGCUAAUUACGUGCCAGCAGCCGCGGUAAUACGUAUGGGGCAAGCGUUGUUCGGAGUUAUUGGGCGUAAAGGGCGUGUAGGCGGCUCAUGAAGUCUGGUGUGAAAACGCAAGGCCUAACCUUGCGUAUGCGCUGGAAACUGGUGGGCUUGAGUUCUUGAGGGGAGGCUGGAAUUCCAGGUGUAGGGGUGAAAUCUGUAGAUAUCUGGAAGAACACCGGUGGCGAAGGCGAGCUUCUAUCAGAGGACUGACGCUGAGGCGCGAAAGCGUGGGGAGCAAACAGGAUUAGAUACCCUGGUAGUCCACGCUGUAAACGAUGUGCACUAGGCGUGGGGCACGUACGUGCUCUGUGCCGUAGCUAACGUGUUAAGUGCACCGCCUGGGGAGUAUGCUCGCAAGGGUGAAACUCAAAGAAAUUGACGGA